rnacentral:rRNA from 1 species
CCUACGGGAGGCAGCAGUGGGGAAUAUUGCGCAAUGGGCGAAAGCCUGACGCAGCGACGCCGCGUGAGGGAUGAAGGUCUUCUGAUCGUAAACCUCUGUCAGCAGGGAAGAACGGUCACUGUGCUAAUCAGCAGUGAAUUGACGGUACCUGCAAAGGAAGCACCGGCUAACUCCGUGCCAGCAGCCGCGGUAAUACGGAGGGUGCGAGCGUUAAUCGGAAUUCCUGGGCGUAAAGCGCUCGUAGGCGGUAUGUCAAGUCAAGUGUGAAAUCCCCGCGCUCAACGUGGGAACUGCCUUUGAAACUGGCAAACUGGAGUGUGUGAGAGGAGAGUGGAAUUCCAGGUGUAGGAGUGAAAUCCGUAGAUAUCUGGAGGAACAUCAGUGGCGAAGGCGACUAGCUGGAACAUAACUGACGCUGAGGAGCGAAAGCGUGGGUAGCAAACAGGAUUAGAUACCCCAGUAGUC